CGGGGGAGGCCGGAUCCCGGGCUGUGUCCCGGCGCCCUGUGCUCGCGGGGCCUGCGCUGUUGGAUUCGCGCUCCCGCCCCGCAGCCCCCU
rnacentral:pre_miRNA from 1 species